GGGGAGGUACCGAAGCGGCCAAACGGGACAGACUGUAAAUCUGUUGGCGUAUGCCUUCGGAGGUUCGAAUCCUCCCCUCCCCA
rnacentral:tRNA from 1 species